rnacentral:rRNA from 1 species
GACGAACGCUGGCGGCGUGCUUAACACAUGCAAGUCGAGCGGAGCGGCGAACGGGUGAGUAACGCGUGCGUAACUGCCCCCCUCUCUGGGAUAACAGUUGGCAACGACUGCUAAUACCGGAUAGUGUGGGAUGACUCGGGUCCUAUCAGCUUGUUGGUGGGGUAGUGGCCUACCAAGGCGACGACGGGUAGCCGGCCUGGGAGGGGGACCGGCCACAUUGGGCUGAGAUACGGACCAAACGCCUACGGGAGGCAGCAGUGGGGAAGAUUGCACAAUGGGGGAAACCCUGAUGCAGAAACGCCGCGUGCGGGAUGACGGCUUUCGGGGUGUAAACCGCUUUCAGCCAUGACGCGGUAGUGGCAGAAGAAGCACCGGCUAACUACGUGCCAGCAGCCGCGGUAAUUC